CACAACCACAACAAAUCAAAUAUAUCACCUUAAAUAAAUCAAUAUAAAAAUAAAUAAUAUGUCUUUCAAAUUCAUUAAAUAAAUCACCUUAUCGAGAUUUUUCCAUUCGAAGAAUAACUUACGAAUAAUAGUACAUCGUCAACAAAAGCUCAUAAGAGCUGGUCCUCCCGAAUACGCCAACAGAAGCUCGAAAGCUGAACAGAAGCUUGUAAGAGCUUAACAAAAGCUCAUAAGAGCUGACCACCCAAUCACGCCAAACAAAAAGUAGAACACAAGAGUUUCUAACAAAUGCUGAACCCCGGUUUGCUUGAGUAAAAUGCCGAUAUCUCCCUCCAAUACUAUCUUCACUCCAAACCUCCGUCAUACACCAAAUCACGAAUGUACUCAAAUCCCACGUUCAAUUCAAACUGAAUAUCCAAUUCAAUAUUAUAAUUCAAAUAAUAAUUAAUUUCCAACAAUAGAAUAUAUGCACAAUACCAAUCAUUAGUUUAUACAAAUGUUAAAUUUUAACCAUACAUGUAAUACCCCCUACCCGUUUUCGUCGUCGAAAUAGGAUACGAGGCAUUACCAGAUUUUACUGAAUUAAUUUUUUUUCUGUUAUUACGAGUUUAAUUACUAUUCAUUUAUCUAAUCAUGUCAUGACGUCCCUUGGAUAGGCCUCCGAAGCCCAAAAUAUACAUCGGGACUAAACUGAUAUUAAAUCGAAGCCAUAAGAAAUUUUUUGCAAAAUCUCAAAGUUAUACUUACUCUAGCCAUACCAACAGCUAAGUUACAAACAUUCAUUUCUAUGUAAUAUUGGUAUUUAGUCUAUACAUGCCAUUCUUUCAAAAUAAGUCAUUUUCAAAUACCAAAAGAUAUGGGUUGAUAGUGUGAUAAAGCUCCGACUAAUCUCCAACCUUCGAGCUCCCGAGCACUACAAAAUAGGGAAAAAGAGAACAGGGUAAGCACAUUGUGCUUAGUAAGUUCAUGCAACAAGAAUUAUACUUACCAUAUUAUACACCUAUCAUUUAAUAACACAAGCACACAUCCAAUUCACAUAAACAUAUACCUAUCACAUACAAACUCAACUUUUGCAUUAGUUAAGUAAACAUCAUAUAAAUUCAUUACAAAGACAAAUGAUUGAUGAGCUCAUCAAUUCCAUAUUUUCCAUUCCCUUGUUAUUUUUCCAUAUUUAUCCUGUUAAAUUUCUCGGAAUUUCGAUGGAUUUUUAGAGGUACACUUUAGUGUACAAAUCCGGGUCCGUCAAUUCAUAUUCAUGUGCGCACAUUUCCAUUUCAGAGAGCACACUCCCGCGAAUCUCAUCCUUACAGUGGGAUUACCAGUCCAGGCUAAAUCCCCUGUAAUAUAAACUCAUAGAGUAUUGUCGGGAUUGCCAGUCCAGGCUAAAUCCCCUGCAACGACAAUUACUCUAAUGAGUUUGGAUCUGAAUUACCAGUCCAGGCUAAAUUCAGACCCUAAUUUGGAUUACCAGUCCGGGCUAAAUCCAUUUUCCACAUAUUUUUCGGGAGGGUUAUAUCAGGAUAGGAUCACCCGUCCAGGCUAGAUCCUUUUUACCGUCAAUUCCUUUUCAGAGAUCCAUCGAAUUUUCCUUUCAUUCAACUGAGAUUUAUUUUCUCUUUUCAUCAAGAAUAUCAAUACUUCAUCAAUUAUCAUACAAUAAACAUCUAAAUCAUAUUCAAAUCAAGAAAAAUAUAUUUCAAGCAUUUAAGAAUAUAAUUCAAGUUACACGAAAUUACUUCGAUACUUGUUCGUAAACAAAAAUCUACUAAUCCCGAACUUUUUCUUUUCCUCGAUCUAGCUUCAUAUUUAAAUUUUCCGGAUCUAAAUAAAUAAAUUUAAUCAUUAAUCUAAUACUUUUCAUGUUCAUAUGUAACAGUCUCUAUAAUUCCAUUAUUAUUUAUAUUGCAUUCAAAGCUGUCUAACUAAGUCAUAGUCACUAAAUUAUUUAUAUCUUGAGCUACGGAACUCCAAAUUAAGAUCUUCUAAUUUUCCCCGAAACUAGACUCACAUAUAUUCUUACCAUAAAAUUUUCAGAAUUUUUUGUUUAUCCAAUAAGUACAGUUUAUUCUUUAAAGUUUCCCCUGUUUCACUGUUUGAUAGUUCCGAUCCCUCUUCACUAAAAAUUAAUUAUCUCAUUAUACAGGAUUUGGAUGAUGUUUCUGUUUGUUUCUUCUGAAAAUAGACUCAUUAAGGAUUCUAACCAUAUAAAUUAUAACUCAUAAUAAUUUUUGUACAAAUUUUAAUGAUUUUACAAAGUAAGAACAGGGGAACCCGAAUUCAUUCUGACCUUGUCUCACAAAAUCUAUUAUAUAUCAUGAUUUACAAUUCCAUUGAUUAAACCGUUUCUUUUAUAAGAAACUAGACUCAAUAAGCUUUAAUUUCAUAUUUUAUUCAUCCUCUAAUUCGAUCUCUACAAUUUUUGGUGAUUUUUCAAAGUUAGACUACUGCUACUGUCCAAAACUGUUUUAGUGCAUAAUGUUAAUUACCAUUCUUUCCCUAAUCUUUCAAUAAAUGAUAAUUUCAUCCCUACUCAAUUAACCUCUCAAUUGAGCUAAUUUUUCUCAACCAACACUUUAUUCUAUCACUUUAAUCUACUUUAUAACCUUUGGAAAUCAGAAUUUUAGCACUAGACUUUAAUUCCAAAUUUUUUCACAAUUAAGUCCUACAAAUCAAUUUCUAUUGAAAUUACCUAAUAAAAUCAUCUCAUAAACAAAUUAAAGCUUCAAUUUCAUCCUAUUUCAUCAUAAAAUUCCAGCACAUAUUCAUAGAAACUUUCAAAUUCAUUCAUAAAAUAAAAAACUAAUGAAUUUAGUAAUAGGACCUAGUUGUAAAAGUCUUAGAAACACAAAAAUUACAAGAAAAAGGCAAUGAUUAACUCACUUGGUGCAAAAAUUAUGAAAAACCAGCUUGAAGAAAACCUUAGGAUGUUUUUUGGCUGAUGAAAAUGCAGAAAAAUAAAGAGAAUUCU
rnacentral:lncRNA from 1 species